rnacentral:rRNA from 1 species
CAGUCGAGGGGCAGCGGGGUAGGAAGCUUGCUUUCUGCCGCCGGCGACCGGCGCACGGGUGAGUAACACGUAUGCAACCUGGCCGUGACAGAUGGAUAACCGGGAGAAAUCCCGCCUAAUACAACAUAAUGCCGGGAGGGGACAUCCCCUGCCGGCCAAAGGGGGCGACCCCGGUCACGGAUGGGCAUGCGGCGCAUUAGGUAGUUGGUGGGGCAACGGCCCACCAAGCCGACGAUGCGUAGGGGUUCUGAGAGGAAGGUCCCCCACAUUGGAACUGAGACACGGUCCAAACUCCUACGGGAGGCAGCAGUGAGGAAUAUUGGUCAAUGGCCGGAAGGCUGAACCAGCCAAGUCGCGUGAGGGAAUAAGGCCCUACGGGUCGUAAACCUCUUUUGCCAGGGAGCAAUGCCGUCCACGUGUGGACGGAAGGAGAGUACCUGGAGAAAAAGCAUCGGCUAACUCCGUGCCAGCAGCCGCGGUAAUACGGAGGAUGCGAGCGUUAUCCGGAUUUAUUGGGUUUAAAGGGUGCGUAGGCGGCCUGCCAAGUCAGCGGUAAAAUUGCGGGGCUCAACCCCGUACAGCCGUUGAAACUGCCGGGCUCGAGUGGGCGAGAAGUAUGCGGAAUGCGUGGUGUAGCGGUGAAAUGCAUAGAUAUCACGCAGAACCCCGAUUGCGAAGGCAGCAUACCGGCGCCCGACUGACGCUGAGGCACGAAAGUGCGGGGAUCAAACAGGAU